rnacentral:tRNA from 1 species
UUCCUUGUGGCUCAGUGGUAAAGAAUCUGCCUUGCAAUGCAGAGGACACAGGUUUGAUCCCUGGCUGGGGAA